rnacentral:rRNA from 1 species
UACGUAGGGUGCAGGCGUUAAUCGGAAUUACUGGGCGUAAAGCGUGCGCAGGCGGUUUGCUAAGACAGGUGUGAAAUCCCCGGGCUUAACCUGGGAACUGCGCUUGUUACUGGCAAGCUGGAGUGUGGCAGAGGGGGGUGGAAUUCCACGUGUAGCGGUGAAAUGCGUAGAGAUGUGGAGGAACACCGAUGGCGAAGGCAGCCCCCUGGGCUGAGAUUGACGCUCAGGCACGAAAGCGUGGGGAGCAAACAGG